AGGACUAUCUCACUGGAGAUCUCUGCUUACCUGAGGCCUUUUAAGGACAUCAGAUGGCUUUGCUGCUUGAACCAAAUAUUCAGCUUUAUCUUCAGCCAGAAAUCUAAUAUGAAACAAGAAUGAAAGAGAAUGUCUGAAAGAAGAGGAUAAGCAGGAGGCAGAUGGUCCAUGUGUGUAACUUGCACUGCCAAAUAGUGGAUUAAGAUGAUCUUUUUGAAUGCUACUUCACAACCUUAGAGCAACUGAGAGCAUUUAGGUUUCCAUUAGCUAUAGAACAAGAAAAUUUAUUCCAGUCUUCAUAAGAACAUCUCCCAUUUCCUGAACUAGAGGAGGAGAUGCUAGUCUAAAAAGUGACCUUACAGCAGUGUAAGUAGAGGGAAGCACAAAAGUGCCAUCUCCCUGCAUGGUUCUAUAAAACCCAUUUACCAGACUGAUCGGAGACUGAGUCAGAGCCAGAAAGCAGAUGAAAUUCAUAGGAAAACCACUUGAGCACUCAAUGAUUUGGCAGUUUGCAACAGUGCAUUAAAAUUGCUUCUUCAGUCACAAUGUUGUAGGACGGUUGCCCUGACCGGAGUGCUAUGAUGAGGUGUGCUCUAUAUAACAAAGCUGCUCAGAUGCAAGGAGCUUUGCUGUGGAAAGGACAAGUCUGUCAGCAAUUUAUGGGAUCAGAAGGGAAGCCACGAAGCAGACAUAUUGAUAGGAUUCUGCGACUGAUUGCCCAGACAAGAGAAAGAGAAGCUGAUGGGAUAGGAUUUUGCUUUCAUCAAUGGCAUCAAACUGGAGUGAGCAGUUAAUACCCUGCAGGGCUGGGCUGUCACUUGGAGGAACUUCAACAGCUAGAGAAAUGGGGCUGAUGGAGACAUCAUGAAUAUAAACAAAGUCCUGAACCUGUGAUGGAGUGAUGUCAUGCAUUCUGAGGAAUAACAGCUCUGCAGAAAGGCACGCUACAGGCAAGUUGAACACAAGGAAGCUUUCUACCGUUGUGAUGAUGAAGACCAACCAUCUAUUGGACUACACUAGUAAAAGUGUAUCAAUCAAGCUGAAGGUAGUGAUUAUUCACAUUUCAUGUUUGAGACCAUAUUUGAAGUACCCUUCCUAGCUUCAGGUUCCUUGGUACAGCAAGAUAUUGACUGACAGAGUGUGAAUAUAUGAUGUGCAAGAAAAACUGAUAAGCAGAUAAACUGAUUGUUUUGCCUGGAUAAGGGUAAAGGUCAGUGAAUGUAACUGCUGUCUGAGGAGGCUUAGGAAACUCCACGCCAGGGGACUUUUUGAAACGAUCUAUUUAACCUGAAGAUGGCUCUACUUUGGGUAGGAGGUGGCACACGGUGAUUUUCAGAGGUCCCUUUCAAUGCAUUUUCUUCUGGGAGUGCAUGAUUAUCUUAAUAUGAGGCCUUAAUGUGAUUACUGGCAAGCUAGAUAUGUUUUAUAGAAAUCAUUAAAAUUAAAAAAAAAUAUAUAAUUCUUCAUCAAAGUCUCCUGGUAAUGAAGACAGUGGGCAGUCUGCAUUUAUUAAUCAUGCUUACCUAUGGCCAAACCAGAAAAGAUCUGAAAUAUCUAUCAGUGCCCUGAGCUCACUAAUGGCUAUGGCUUGAGGUUACUAAUGGCCUGUCCCUGUCUGCUGCUGAGGCUCCCUGACGUGCCCAGGACCACCGUGACAUCCCAGUGCCACUUACCUCUGCCCCAGUAAGGCAGCAGGGAUGGGCUCCAGCUCCCGAGGACUCUGCCCUGCCUGACCAUUGUCUGAUGCAGUUUGCAAAGGGCCGUGAAAGUUGCUAUGAGGACCAAGAGUACUUCUUUGUUAGAUUUAUUUUUUUUUUUACUUCUGCUGUUGAAGCUAGUUUAGUUUAUGUAAAUAACUCAAAUACAUGUUGGAGUAAGAAAUUGAACUUGGUUCUCCUGUACCCUUUCUGAAGGUUUCAAACACUGAGCAAUCUUUGAUUGUGUUAAUUUCUUUUCGUUGAAAUCUUUAGGUGUUUCUUGGAGAGAAAGUAAUCUCAAAUAUAUUUAUGAGCUGGGAAUUUUUUUUUUCCCAUGCAGUUUGCCUUGCAGAAAAGAUGAUCUCAUUUGCUGAGCCAUGCUGCCAGCAUUCUUCCUUUUCAUGGAAGGAAAUUAUGGUUCCUGUGGAAGUGUCACAAAUGACACGGAGGGCUGGCAGCACAGAAUCAUUACUGCUUGUUGAGUAAACAUUUUCAAGUAGAGAAUAAACAAAUCCUUAUCAUAACUAAAGAUUUGGAGAGGGGUGAUAGAGAAC